UACGUAGGGGGCAAGCGUUGUCCGGAAUCAUUGGGCGUACAGAGCGUGUAGGCGGUUCGGUAAGUCGGCUGUGAAAGUCCAGGGCUCAACCCUGGGAUGCCGGUCGAUACUGCCGGACUAGAGUUCGGAAGAGGCGAGUGGAAUUCCCGGUGUAGCGGUGAAAUGCGCAGAUAUCGGGAGGAACACCUAUGGCGAAGGCAGCUCGCUGGGACGUUACUGACGCUGAGACGCGAAAGCGUGGGGAGCGAACAGG
rnacentral:rRNA from 1 species